UGGGGAAUAUUGCACAAUGGGCGCAAGCCUGAUGCAGCCAUGCCGCGUGUGUGAAGAAGGCCUUCGGGUUGUAAAGCACUUUCAGCGAGGAGGAAGGUGGUGAACUUAAUACGUUCAUCAAUUGACGUUACUCGCAGAAGAAGCACCGGCUAACUCCGUGCCAGCAGCCGCGGUAAUACGGAGGGUGCAAGCGUUAAUCGGAAUUACUGGGCGUAAAGCGCACGCAGGCGGUUUGUUAAGUCAGAUGUGAAAUCCCCGGGCUCAACCUGGGAACUGCAUUUGAAACUGGCAAGCUAGAGUCUCGUAGAGGGGGGUAGAAUUCCAGGUGUAGCGGUGAAAUGCGUAGAGAUCUGGAGGAAUACCGGUGGCGAAGGCGGCCCCCUGGACGAAGACUGACGCUCAGGUGCGAAAAGCGUGGGGAGCAAAACAGGAUUAGAUACCCCUGGUAGUCCACGCUGUAAACGAUGUCGAUUUUGGAGGUUGUGCCCUUGAGGCGUGGCUUCCGGAGCUAACGCGUUAAAUCGACCGCCUGGGGAGUACGGCCGCAAGGUUAAAACUUAAAUGAAUUG
rnacentral:rRNA from 1 species